UACCUGGCUCAGAGGAAGCUGGAGUUUCCUCUCUCUCUCUCUCUCUCUCUCUCUCUCUCUCUCUCUCUCUCUCUCUCUCACUCUCUCUCUUUCCUGAAAAUCUUUCCUCUAUUGUAGAAUGAACUACCAUAAAUUCAAUUUUCUUUAGUAAUUCAUUUUGGGAUUUAGAAAUUAAAUUCCUGGUGACCACCUAUAUAAAUAUUCAGGGUCCAAGAACAAUUAAAUUUAACAGUAGUGUAAUGACCGGUUCAAGAGAGAAGAUUUUUGGAACGUUGGCAUGAGGGCCGAGGGGAAGAAAGCGUAGGUUGGAGAGCAAAGGAUUCUGGGAAAGGAAACUGACCUGAGGAAGAUCUACAGGGAAUUCUUGGCUUUUUGAGCUGAGUCCUUGACCUGACAAGACCUGUUCCUGAGCUGAGGAUUUCACCAAGAGCCACCAGAGAAUAUCUAGUUCCUUCAUUCAAAUUCUCCCACAAACCUGUCAUCUGUCUGAUAUCUCCAGCAUCUCUCCACUGAGAAGAUACCUCAAACCCCAAAGGGGGACUGUGGACUCAUGGAGGAGAGAGCCCAGCUCCCUUGCCCCUUCCUGCCUUCUUACACCUAUCUCUUUAUAGUUUCUUUAGGCCAGAUAGAUACAUAAAAUAAUAGUGGGAUUGUUUAGUUGAUGGUGAAACCCAAGUCUGAGAAAACUCAGUGCUCAGGGUCUAGUCAAACUGGCUUUGGUGCCAUUCCUUACACGUCACUCCAUUUCCUGCUUCUGUCUUUGACCUGGCUGUCUACUCUCCUUGUCGAAGGCAUCCCUCCUUGUCUCUGCCUCACAGAAUCUGCCACUUCCUUCAAGACCCUGGUCAAGCGUCACCAUGAAGUUUCUCCUCAUCCCCUUCCUUUGGUGCUCUCCUUCCCCAAUUACCUUGCGCUUAUUUUGAGUCUCAAUCCUCAUGACGUCUUCCCUGAUCUUCCCAUACGAAAUGAUCCGUCCCUCUUCAGAUUAUCUGAGAGCACUUCAGGUAGGCUCAGAGAUCCUAUCAGAUGUAUUUUCAAAUUGCUCAGGCCCUAUCGCCUUUAUUAAAUUGCAAACUCCUGGAGGACAAGGAUUAGCUUCUUCUUUAAGCCGUGUAUCCCCAGCGUCUGGGACA